UACGUAGGGUGCUAGCGUUGUUCGGAAUUACUGGGCGUAAAGGGUGCGUAGGCGGCUUUGUAAGUCGGGGGUGAAAGCCUGUGGCUCAACCAGAGAAUUGCCUUCGAUACUGCAUGGCUUGAGUCCGGAAGAGGGAAGUGGAACUGCGAGUGUAGAGGUGAAAUUCGUAGAUAUUCGCAAGAACACCAGUGGCGAAGGCGGCUUACUGGGCCGGUUCUGACGCUGAGGCGCGAAAGCGUGGGGAGCAAACAGG
rnacentral:rRNA from 1 species